rnacentral:rRNA from 1 species
AGGGCACCACCAGGAGUGGAGCCUGCGGCUUAAUUUGACUCAACACGGGAAAUCUCACCAGGCCCGGACACCGGAAGGAUUGACAGAUUGAAAGCUCUUUCUUGAUUCGGUGGGUGGUGGUGCAUGGCCGUUCUUAGUUGGUGGAGCGAUUUGUCUGGUUAAUUCCGAUAACGAACGAGACUCUGGCCUACUAAAUAGACAUUGGAUCAUUUAUGGCCCAUUGCAGCUUCUUAGAGGGACGGGCGGCUUAUAGCCGCACGAGAAUGAGCAAUAACAGGUCUGUGAUGCCCUUAGAUGUUCUGGGCUGCACGCGCGCUACACUGAAGGAAUCAGCGUGUGUACCCUGUCCGAAAGGACUGGGAAACCCGUUGAACCUCCUUCGUGAUGGGGAUYGGGGAUUGCAAUUAUUCCCCAUGAACGAGGAAUUCCCAGUAGGCGCGAGUCAUAAGCUUGCGUCGAUUACGUCCCUGCCCUUUGUACACACCGCCCGUCGCUACUACCGAUCGAGUGUUUUAGUGA